rnacentral:lncRNA from 1 species
AAGAAGAAAAGAGUAAAGGAAUUAAACUAUACAAAUAAAACUAACAACCUAGACUACUCAGCUGCAGUGUCAGGGACUUCAGCCGUAUCAGCUACGUCUAAGACCUGCUCCAGAGGGGCCUCUGAAAUAUCUGCUCACAUCCAAUUUGGAUGAUCAUUGCAAAAGAAAACAAGCACAAACAAGAACAAGCAGCAAACAAAGCAAGGGUAAGCUAGAAUUCAAUGAAAACAAGUCAAUUACAAUUAAACAUAGUAAAAGAGACAUACAAUACAACAAGCAAGGAAGAACAGUUUAUUUAAUUUAUAAUUUGUUGUUUUAUUAAGUAGUAUUAGACUUAGACUCGUCCGGACCCGGAAUGAAUAUCGAGCUAUGGCGGGUCAUGCACUUGUGGUGGCCUCUACUGCUUUGCAAAGCCAUUGCCAAUGGGUUUCACCCUACCACACACAAGGUUGGUCCGUUAUCACUCACCUUGGCCAUAUAAAAUGGAGACAACCAAGACUAGGACCCCCUACUACUCUUCACCACAUGAACUAAUCUUCUCUAAGUGAGAUUGAAUAGUCAUUAGAGCUUUAAGGGCAACCCCCAAGACUGAGCUACCUAUAUUCAUUCCAGAAACUUACU